rnacentral:rRNA from 1 species
CCUACGGGUGGCAUCAGUGAGGAAUAUUGGUCAAUGGGCUUACGCCUGAACCAGCUAAGUCGCGUGAGGGAAGACUGCCCUAUGGGUUGUAAACUUCUUUUAUAUGGGAAUAAAAUGUUCCACGUGUGGGAUUUUGUAUGUACCAUAUGAAUAAGGAUCGGCUAACUCCGUGCCAGCAGCCGCGGUAAUACGGAGGAUCCGAGCGUUAUCCGGAUUUAUUGGGUUUAAAGGGAGCGUAGGUGGAUUGUUAAGUCAGUUGUGAAAGUUUGCGGCUCAACCGUAAAAUUGCAGUUGAAACUGGCAGUCUUGAGUACAGUAGAGGUAGGCGGAAUUCGUGGUGUAGCGGUGAAAUGCUUAGAUAUCACGAAGAACUCCGAUUGCGAAGGCAGCUCACUGGACUGCAACUGACACUGAGGCUCGAAAGUGUGGGUAGCAAACAGGAUUAGAUACCCGGGUAGUC